AUGCCAUGUUAUGGGCACUCCCUCUGAAGAUCUUUAUACCUUUCCAAUGCAUGAUAGAUAGAUUCAUUAUCUUUUUGUCUAAAGGUGUUGAGUUCAGCUAUAAGUUU